rnacentral:rRNA from 1 species
GAUGAACGCUGGCGGCGUGCCUAAUACAUGCAAGUCGAGCGAACGGACGAGAAGCUUGCUUCUCUGAUGUUAGCGGCGGACGGGUGAGUAACACGUGGAUAACCUACCUAUAAGACUGGGAUAACUUCGGGAAACCGGAGCUAAUACCGGAUAAUAUUUUGAACCGCAUGGUUCAAAAGUGAAAGACGGUCUUGCUGUCACUUAUAGAUGGAACUGCGCUGCAUUAGCUAGUUGGUAAGGUAACGGCUUACCAAGGCAACGAUGCAUAGCCGACCUGAGAGGGUGAUCGGCCACACUGGAACUGAGACACGGUCCAGACUCCUACGGGAGGCAGCAGUAGGGAAUCUUCCGCAAUGGGCGAAAGCCUGACGGAGCAACGCCGCGUGAGUGAUGAAGGUCUUCGGAUCGUAAAACUCUGUUAUUAGGGAAGAACAUAUGUGUAAGUAACUGUGCACAUCUUGACGGUACCUAAUCAGAAAGCCACGGCUAACUACGUG